AGCUCCACACCAUCGUAUGUCAUCGCCGCUGCCAUAGUCCUACUUACUUGGGACCUCCCCUGUCUGAGCCCCUAUGGCCGCCGCCUCCUCCCUCCCUCCCUCUCUCUCUCUCCCCCCGAUUUGGAUCUUGGAGACGGAGCUGCACUGGUUAAUUGGCUUUCUCCUCUGGUCUUCCUCCUGAUCUCCACCCCCAUCUCGACCAGGUACUCAACCUUGCCUCCUGUGGCGUGCUCCAUCAAAUUUAGGUCUGCACCUCCGGCCGUUCCUCUCCUCGGCUCUGUGUUCCCUCCUCUCGCCAUCUUAGUAGUUCCUUAACCGCAUCAGGUCAUUUAUGGUAGGGAGCACCGAAACACCGGAAUGACCUAUGGCUGGUCAGGUCACCAGGUUGGUUCAUUGUUUGGAGGUAAUGGAGUUUGUCGGGAAAUGUUAGUACAACUUUACUGAAUCCUCACUUCUCGGAAACAAGAUUCUGCAUUCCAACAGUUAAGCCUCUUUUCUGUUAUUUCUGUGCAAUAGUGUUCAUUUUGCAUGCCCUUUGGAAUGUUUGGAUCACCCAAUUAGAUUGUCCACUUUUUAGUGUUUGAUUGGAUGUAUCACCAAAAUAUAUUACUAUUUAGAGUGUUCCAUUUAUAUUUAAGGAAGAGAAGUUCCUCUAAAAUUUAUGUGUUCCUGUGGCCCUUGAAUUAUACCAAACUGGUCGUUGGAUAUUGUGUAGGUUGGAGGCAAUACAUUACUGACUCAGUACAUAUAUCUACUUUCUAUCAGGGCUAAAUUUACUCAUAGCUUGCUUUUUAGUUGUAGUGCUGCUAAUUUACAGUAACAAUGCACAACUUGAGCAUCCUGAUCUUAGGGAGAAUUUUAUUUCUGGAAUGCAGAUUCCGGUGCAGCCUACAUUAGACCAACAGAGAUGUUAGUCUAGAGCGUGGGAUCAGGAAUAUAUUUGCAGCCCUGGUUAUGCUAGGUGUGCUUCGGUAAUGCCAGGGGAGAUGAGUAACAAUGCACAACUUGAGCAUCCUGAUCUUAGGGAGAAUUUUAUUUUUGGAAUGCAGAUCCCGGUGCAGCCUAGAGCCUACAUUAGACCAACAGAGAUGAUAGUCUAGAGCGUGGGAUCAGGAAUAUAUUUACAGCCCUGGUUAUGCUAGGUGUGCUUCGGUAAUGCCAGGGGAGAUGAUUCGUCUUCUGUUUUGCUUAUAGAACAUGGUAAUUUUAGUGAUAUGAAAUCCUAUACUUCUUUUACAGCUCCACCAAAAAGUGCUUUUCAGUCGUAAUAACCCAUUAGUACAAUUUGGAUAGUCUAACUAGAGAAUAAUGAGCUGGGCAAGUGUGCUUUAGGUAUAAUAUCUAUUCAUACAACCUGUGGUCUGUGGUGUUCUCUGUAGAAGUGUAAAUAUUUCAAGCAGGCUGCGCUGUUGGAACGUUUCUGUUUCGUCACUGUUGUAACUGGUAACCCACGGAUGAUCUUAAAGCUUUCAAUAAAGUUCGACUUUUUGCCUUUCCUCUAAAAAUAUAUUGCUAGCUUUCACGAGAAAAUUCUAUACCUUUUAAGCUUCAGCGUUAUGAAAUUACUAGCAUUCCUAGAGGUUAUGAGUUUUGGUUUUGAUUUUAAUGCAGUCAUGCAGUUCAGAACUGAAACCAACAUCUUCCAUAGUUUCAUUGCUAUUUUGGAUUUCCUAUACAAUUUUUAGUAUUCCUCCCGGUGCACCGCCACCGCUGCGAGUUCCGCUACCUUGCGUCGAGCUUGGCCGCCAGGCUACAGCUGCCGGUGGUCGCGUCCCAGACCAACUACAGACAGCGAACGGACUUGCAGAAAAAAGUGUGCACUAGGCAAAUAUGCUGCUGAUUCUAUUAGGGGUUCAUGUAAUUACUUUUUGACAUGCUGAUGUAGCGCUGCAGUUUUAGGUCUCCUUUGUACUUUGUUAGGCCCUUAGGUCUACAAGGAGAUCAAAUAUUGCUUAGAGAUAUAGUACAACGAAGUGGUUCUUGAAUCUAAUAUCUAUUCUCUCUUUGGAUUGAGUAAAUCACCUAGACUUUUGUUUUCCUUCUGCAAGGAAACAAUGGUUUUGAAAAUGGGUUCGUAUAAUUACUUUUUCACAUGCUGAUGCAGCGCUGCAGUUUUAAUUAUUCCUGUGUACUUCAGUUAGGGCCUUAGGUCUACAAGGAGAUCAAAUAUUGCUUAUAGCUCUGAAUUGGUGUGCAUGCAGUACAAUAAAGUGGUUCUUGAAUUUUACAUA